rnacentral:rRNA from 1 species
UACAGAGGGUGCAAGCGUUAAUCGGAAUUACUGGGCGUAAAGGGCCGCGUAGGUGGUUGCGUAAGUGAGAUGUGAAAGCCCCGGGCUUUAACCUGGGAAUUGCAUCUUAUACUGUGCAGCUUGAGUGCAAUAGAGGGUAGUGGAAUUUCCGGUGUAGCGGUGAAAUGCGUAGAUAUCGGAAGGAACACCAGUGGCGAAGGCGGCUACCUGGUCCGGUACUGACGCUGAGGUGCGAAAGCGUGGGGAGCAAACAGG